GUUACAUUACAUAUAUUUCAUAGGAAAGAAUAAAAAAAAGAUUGAUAAUGAGAUUGAGAGAAUCAGGACGGGUGUUAAUUUUGUGAUAACUUGUAUACUAAAGGUAAUGAAAAACAACUGCAAUAUUUCAAAGAUAUAGUUAAAGGAUUUAAAUUGAAAAACUGUUGAAGAAAAGUCGUUGCACGGCUAUUCACUUAGGAACGCGGAGCAUGACCUUUACUUACCAACUCCACAUUGAGAAUUAGUUAAGGGCUCAAUAUUUUAC